UUGAAAGGGAAACGAUUGAAGUAGUGUANGAGAGAAAUCAGUUUUGAAUGUGAUUUGUGGGGUAUGAGAUUUAUUGUUUGCAAUAUGUAUAUUUUUUGGUGUAUUUUUGUAUGGUAGGUUAAGUGGUUUUGGUGNAUAAAAUGACGGAGGAAUGUAGUUGGUUGGUUGAAGUGUUAUAGCUUUGGUAGAUGUGGUGAUUAGGACGAGGAUUGAAGAAUACCUUUUAGGUAUCCGUCUGACUUGAAAGUUAUUAGGUGNGAAAGUUGCUUACGGUCAUUUAAGUUGACGUCAAUAGGUUAGAACGGAUUUAUUCGUUAAGGAUGUUGACGUA
rnacentral:rRNA from 1 species